rfam:Triticum aestivum genome assembly, contig: Triticum_aestivum_CS42_TGACv1_scaffold_576780_7BL
UAGAUACUCCCUCCGUCCGGAAUUACUUGUCGCAGAAAUGGAUGUAUCUAGAUUAUUUUAGUUCUAGAAUACAUCCAUUUUUGUCCAUUUAUGUGACAAGUAAUUCGGGACGGAGGGAGUACUAU